rnacentral:rRNA from 1 species
CAGUAGCCACGGUAAUACGUAGGUGGCAAGCGUUGUCCGGAAUUAUUGGGCGUAAAGGGCUCGCAGGCGGUUUCUUAAGUCUGAUGUGAAAGCCCCCAGCUCAACCGGGGAGGGUCAUUGGAAACUGGGAAACUUGAGUGCAGAAGAGGAGAGUGGAAUUCCACGUGUAGCGGUGAAAUGCGUAGAGAUGUGGAGGAACACCAGUGGCGAAGGCGACUCUCUGGUCUGUAACUGACGCUGAGGAGCGAAAGCGUGGGGAGCGAACAGGAUUAGAUACCCCAGUAGUCCCUGUCUCUUAUAC